GGAAUAUUGGACAAUGGGCGCAAGCCUGAUCCAGCAAUGCCGCGUGAGUGAUGAAGGCCUUAGGGUUGUAAAGCUCUUUCACCGGGGAAGAUAAUGACGGUACCCGGAGAAGAAGCCCCGGCUAACUCCGUGCCAGCAGCCGCGGUAAUACGGAGGGGGCGAGCGUUGUUCGGAAUUACUGGGCGUAAAGCGCACGUAGGCGGCUUUGUAAGUUAGAGGUGAAAGCCCGGAGCUCAACUCCGGAACUGCCUUUAAGACUGCAUCGCUAGAACGUUGGAGAGGUAAGUGGAAUUCCGAGUGUAGAGGUGAAAUUCGUAGAUAUUCGGAAGAACACCAGUGGCGAAGGCGACUUACUGGACAACUGUUGACGCUGAGGUGCGAAAGCGUGGGGAGCAAA
rnacentral:rRNA from 1 species